CAAUAGUCAAAUUACUGACUAAUCGCCAUUAAACCAAAACACAACAACAACAUUUGUCGUCGCGAGAGCAUCGUCACUUUGUGGUUUGUCUCUUGGACAAAAUCUUGCCUUGUGAAGCCGAAUCUUGACCUUAGUUGUACACGUCGUUUAGUUUUGACUGUUCUUUAGAGACUUGGUUAGUACCGGUGCUUUGGACUUUGACAGGGGCUUUGGACUUUGACGGAAGAA